GCAGGAAAAAUAUACAGAGCCCCUCCUCAUAGGAGGCAGGAAUCUCAGGCUUGAGUUUCAUGUUACAUGGCCGAGUAUGACUGAGGAAAAGUGACAUGUGAGGAAACAGGAGUGUAGGGAGCUCUGAGAGUAACAGGGAACCAGGACCAGGAAAGUUGGGAGCAUGUCUCUAAUGAAGUAAUGAUUACCUAAGACCUGAUGGAAGAGGAUGAUUGGGAUUGGUGAGGAGUGGGACAGGCAGGGCUUAUAGGAACCCCAGAGGUGAGAUCAUCUUGGAGGUCCCAGAACCAAAAGCCGACCUGAGGAAGCUGGAGUACAGAGAUGAGGAGCAAAAUUCUGUUAGUCAAGGCUAGGGGAACCAAACCAAUCAGGAUUCCUUGUUAAAUUGAAAGCCCUAAUUCUAAAGAAAAUACCAAACAAAACAUUAUGAAUACAUUUCUAGUAAAUGUCAACAAUUUCUAAAUAAUCCUAUCAAGUUAAAAUCUCAACCACAAUGAAGUGACCAACUCAGAUGGAAGAAGGUAUUUUGACAUGUAUCUUGACAAAGGAUGUACACCUAGAGUUCUAAAUGCCACUGAGAAAAUGCAGACACCCCAAUGUGAAAAGGUAGAUUGUCAUUCAAUAAAAAGCACAAUUUUUAGUAAUAGGGGAAAUGUAAAUUAAAGUCAGAUUGUUCCUCAUCCUCACCAGAACCUGUACAAUUCUAUUAUUAAUACUAUUCUGUACUAUUCUAUGCUUGUCAAAUUGGCACUAAUUUAAAAUGACUACAACACCAGGUUCCGGUGAGGAUGAGGAGCAAUCUGUACUUUCAUAUACUGCAGAAAUACAAAAAAAUUGGCAUUAUCUACCGAAGUUUAAGAUAAAUAAUUCCCAAGAUCCAACAAGUUCAUGUCUUGAACUUGUGUGCAGGUGCACCAGAAUCCCAGUGACUCUAGGCUGAGGCAGGAGGAUCCCAAGUUCAAGGCCAGCCUCAACAACUUAGUGGGAUACUGUCCCAAAAUUUAAAAAAAAAAAAAAG
rnacentral:lncRNA from 1 species